UUUUGUUUGUUUAUUUGUUUGUUUGUUUUACUAUGACUGAGGAAUUGAAUCUUUUUUGACAAGAAGCAGUUACAGACUUCUGAAAACAGGAUUUCCUCAUUUUCUACAGUGGUUUUCCACAUAAAUGCUGCAAAGGUCACAAACUUGUGAAGUGCAUAUUGUGUGCAUUAUGUGUUCAGGAUAUGCUCUGCAUCAAAAUUGCAUUGAUGCUUUCCCAUCACCUACAGUGAGUGACUUCCCUGUUGUAGAGAUCACUAGGACUACAGCCACAGUGCUCCAGUGCAACAUCUCUCUUGCUCUGCGAUGAACCAAAUUCAGCGUUUGUGAACAUAAAGAUCAGAAUUAAUAGACUGCAUGAGGUUUGUGCAAUGUCUCAAUUUUAAUAAGCUUUGUUGUUGCUUUAAAACCUGCUGAGAUAGUAAUCUGUUUAUGUUUCAGCAACACUAGGCACGGCUGCAAUCUGCUUAGGACCAGAAAACAAAGAGGUCCUGAAGAAAAUGGAAGUCUUUGCAGAGCUGAUUUUAGGGUAAACUGUACAUUUUCCCAGAUAAAUGCAAGAAAAAACAGGAAGGAAAAUGAUUUUCAGCUAAACUGAAUGCUUUUCUAGGAAGGGAGAGAUGGAAAAGUAAAGGCUUUGCACCUCCAGUACAGAAGAACAGUAUGCACUCCAUUGACAGCGUCCCCUUUUUAUUGACUUGUUUUCUUCAUUAAACUGAAAGCAGACAUGAAUUUAGCUCCAGAUAAUUCCUCUCAUUUCCUGUCGUGAUUUCCACAAUUGUCUCUUUACCAGUAAAAUAUAGCUGAUAAUAGUUUUUGGUAACAUUUAUAAAAUUCUUAGUAUAGAACGGAUGAAAAGUACUACACAUUUUCCAUUCUUCUCUAGUAAAGAGCAAAUAUAAAAAGCUAACUAAAACAAGUGUUUAAAAUAACAGCUUACAAAAACGCAUAUUAUUUUACACUCAUACUAAGCACUUGUAUAUAUUUAUGAAGAGCCAUGCUAGUUGUGGAGUUCGGUUUACUCUAAUGAUUGGUAACAUUGCAUCACUGCUCAAUGUGCAGUGAUGAAACAGCAACAGCCUCAUAAAUCAAAGCAAUGACUCAGCAUCCAGCACAUGAUCCCUGCCUUGCUUUCCUUUCCCAAAUAAAAUGUGGCAGUGAAAAGAAAUGGAUUCCUUU
rnacentral:lncRNA from 1 species